UGAUUCAACUAUGAUUUUUAUUUGUUUGUUUGACUGAUUUCCUUUUGGAUAAUGAAGGCAUCUUUAGUCACCAUAUCUUCUGAGACAU
ensembl:snoRNA